rnacentral:rRNA from 1 species
CCUACGGGAGGCAGCAGCAGGGAAUCUUGCGCAAUGGGCGAAAGCCUGACGCAGCGACACCGCGUGGGGGAUGAAGGCCUUCGGGUUGUAAACCCCUUUCAGGAGGGAAGAAAUUGACGGUACCUCCACAAGAAGGACCGGCCAACUACGUGCCAGCAGCCGCGGUAAUACGUAGGGUCCGAGCGUUAUCCGGAAUCAUUGGGCGUAAAGAGCUCGUAGGCGGUUCAGCAAGUCGGCUGUGAAAGUUCGAGGCUCAACCUCGAAAUUGCAGUCGAUACUGCUGUGACUCGAGUCCGGUAGAGGAGAAUGGAAUUCCCGGUGUAGCGGUGAAAUGCGCAGAUAUCGGGAGGAACACCAGUAGCGAAGGCGGUUCUCUGGGCCGGCACUGACGCUGAGGAGCGAAAGCGUGGGGAGCAAACAGGAUUAGAUACCCUGGUAGUCCACGCCGUAAACGAUGAGAACUAGAUGUCGGGAGGAUCUGCCUUUCGGUGUCGCAGCUAACGCGUUAAGUUCUCCGCCUGGGGAGUACGCCGGCAACGGUAAAACUCAAAUGAAUUGACGG